AUUGAACGCUGGCGGCAGGCCUAACACAUGCAAGUCGAGCGGAUGAGGGAAGCUUGCUUCCUGAUUUAGCGGCGGACGGGUGAGUAAUGCCUAGGAAUCUGCCUAUUAGUGGGGGAUAACGUUCCGAAAGGAACGCUAAUACCGCAUACGUCCUACGGGAGAAAGUGGGGGGUCUUCGGACCUAACGCUAACAGAUGAGCCUAGGUCGGAUUAGCUAGUAGGUGAGGUAAUGGCUCACCUAGGCGACGAUCCGUAACUGGUCUGAGAGGAUGAUCAGUCACACUGGAACUGAGACACGGUCCAGACUCCUACGGGAGGCAGCAGUGGGGAAUAUUGGACAAUGGGCGAAAGCCUGAUCCAGCCAUGCCGCGUGUGUGAAGAAGGUCUUCGGAUUGUAAAGCACUUUAAGUUGGGAGGAAGGGUAUUCACCUAAUACGUGGGUACUUUGACGUUACCAACAGAAUAAGCACCGGCUAACUCUGUGCCAGCAGCCGCCGUAACAC
rnacentral:rRNA from 1 species